UAAGAAUAAAUGUAUUUAUAAUAAUCUUUUGGCAUAUUUAUUAAUGUGAAAAAAUGUUUAGAAAAAUAAGAAAAAAAAUAAAUGAAAUAUUUUUAUAUCGUGUAGAAUUUUUGUAUUUUUCUACGCGGUUCAUAGACAUCGCAUCAAUUGGUUUCUUUUUUUUCCCCCUUCUUCUUUUUCUUCUCUGAUUUGACAACAAAGCAGUUAGUGAAUCCAUUCAGUUAAUCGUACACACCAAUACAAUAUUAGGUUUCAGUCAGCCAAUUUCAAGCAAAAACCACCCGUGAAAGAUCACAAAGGAAUGACAAGAAAGGAGAAACUAUGUUCAAAGAAAGAUGUCUUGAAUCGCAUUCUGGCAAGAUCUGAAGGAGGGGGGAAACCUGCAGUAAUUUUAUCGGAUAAAGAUCGAAACGGCCCCACUAGAGCUCAUUCAUCAUUUUAUACGUCAACGUCACGUGAUGUAACCUUCUUACUGCUAUGCCAUUACUAUCGUUGCCAAGGUUACAGGUAAAAGUUGCAUCAUCGAGACUCUCUCUCUCUCGAAAACUUGAGCUGUUUUAAAGAAUUAUUUAAAUUUUUCGAAAUUCAAAUACUGUUCUAUUCGAAGUUUUCUUAGAAAGCUGGAUAAAUUUGAAAAAUUCUGAAAGAAGAAGAAGAAGAAGAAAAAAAAAAAUACAAAUUAU
rnacentral:lncRNA from 1 species